AAGUCGUAACAAGGUUUCCGUAGGUGAACCUGCGGAAGGAUCAUUAACACGUAUCCCUGUGAACUAUCGACGUUCUCUCGCCGGUCCAUGAGGAACAGCAAUCCCUGGUAAAUCAUUGACGAACAGCGUCUGAAUCUUGGUUCUC
rnacentral:misc_RNA from 1 species